AAUCAAGUUUUAAAAAGGGCGAAGAGUGGAUGCCUCGACUCAAAGUUCCGAUGAAGGACGUGGCUAGCUGCGAUAAGCCUCGGCGAGCUGUUAAGCAAGCAUUGACCCGGGGAUUUCCGAAUAGGGCAACCUAAUCCGAGUUAUGUCGGAUUACCUGGUACCUUUUUUGUUUCUGAAUACAUAAAGCACGUAGAUGCUUUGCGAUUUUUGUCAGUGACAAAGAAGGUGCCAGGAGGACACACAGAGAACUGAAACAUCUUAGUACCUGUGGAAAAGAAAUCAUAUGAGAUUCCCUUAGUAGUGGCGAGCGAACGGGGAACAGCCUAAACCACUGCGGCGUGAUAGGUGCCAGCCGUUUCCGUGGUGGUGUUGCAAGGCCUAUUUUCUAGUAUCUGGCGAUGCUGGUAAUCGGUUCCAUUGUUAGUCAAAGGUCCCUGGAAAGGGCCGCCAUAGAGGGUAAUAGCCCCGUCGGCGAAAACAAUGGCUUCGGUUAAAUAGGUUCUUAAGUAGGGUCGGACACGUGAAAUCCGGCCUGAACCUGGGUGGACCACCAUCCAAGGCUAAACAGACUUUGAGAUCUAUAGUGAACAAGUACCGUGAGGGAAAGGUGAAAAGCACCCCAGAAAGGGGGAUGAAAUAGUUUCUGAAACUCUUUGCUUAAAAGGAGUAGGAGCCUCGCUUCGGCGGGGUGACUGCGUACUUUUUGUAGAACGGGCCAACGAGUUAGCUGUAUGGGGCUUGGUUAAGGGAGAUUCACCCGAAGCCAUAGCGAAAGCGAGUCUUAACUGGCGCAUUUGUCUCAUACACUAGACCCGAAACCAGGUGAGCUACCCAUGGACAGGCUGAAGUCCGCUUAACAGCGGAUGGAGGGCCGAACCCAACUAUGUUGCAAGAUAGUGGGAUGAGCUGUGGGUAGUGGAGAAAUUCCUAUCGAACCUGGAGAUAGCUGGUUCUCCUCGAAAUAGCUUUAGGGCUAGCCUUGUGCGUUAAGCAGUGGGGGUAGAGCGCUGUUUCGGCUAGGGGGCGAAAUAAGUCUACCAAACCGAGAUAAACUUCGAAUACCACUGUGUACUUCACAGGAGUCAGUCCGUGACAGCUAAGUGCCACGGACAAAAGGGAAACAGCCCAGACCGUCGUCUAAGGUCCCUAAUAGAGAUUAAGUGUUAAAGGAUGUUAGAUCCCGUAGACAACCAGGAGGUUGGCUUAGAAGCAGCCACCCUUUAAAGAGUGCGUAAUAGCUCACUGGUCUACGCCCACCGUAAGGUGGGGGGAUUUAGCGCCGAAAAUCCAACGGGGCUCAAAUCUCUAACCGAAGACACGGACUUUCCCCGCCUCGGCGGGGGGAGUGGUAGAGGAGCGUUCCAUUCAGCGAUGAAGUCGCAUCGUAAGGUGCGGUGGAGUGGAUGGAAGUGCAAAUGUUGGCAUAAGUAACGUAAACCAAGUGAAAAACUUGGUCACCGUAAACCCAAGGUUUCCCAAGCCACGUUAAUCGACUUGGGGUUAGUCGGUCCUAAGGUGAACCCGAAAGGGGUAGUCGAUGGACAACAGGUUAAUAUUCCUGUACAACGGGCAUUUCGUCCAAGCAAAACUGGCAGUGCCUGCUCGCAAAUGUAAUCUCUUCGGAGGUUUCAAAUGUGUUCAGGUUAACUAAAGGCGGCGCUAGCUUAGGGGGGACGCCGUUGGAUAAAGAGAGCGUAUUAAUGAAUUUACGUCCAAGCUUUAAGUAUCGUGCCUCUUAUGUAAAUCAGGGAGGUCCUCUUUACUUCGGUAAAGAGAAUACGAGAAGUGAUGGAAAGCCCCGCUUUGCGGGGUGAUUCUCUUGAUUUCAGCGGACUAGAAAAUCCUCGAAGCGAGAAAUGCACGUUACCGUACCGCAAACCAACACUGGUGGGUGGGUAGAGUAUACUAAGGUGAUCGGGAUAACCCUCGUUAAGGAACUCGGCAAAACAGCGGCCGUAACUUCGGAAUAAGGCCUGACAGCAUUUUUUUAUUUUAUAAGAAAGUGCUGCCCGCAGCGAAAGAUCCCAUGCAACUGUUUACCAAAAACACAGGUCUCUGCAAACUCGUAAGAGGAUGUAUAGGGGCUGACGCCUGCCCAGUGCCAGAAGGUCACGUGGAGGGGUUAGGACUUCGGUCCAAAGCUCUGAAAUUAAGCCCUGGUGAACGGCGGCCGUAACUAUAACGGUCCUAAGGUAGCGAAAUUCCUUGUCUGGUAAGUUCAGACCCGCACGAAUGGCGUAAUGAUAUGGGAACUGUCUCAACGAGGGACCCGGUGAAAUUGUAGUAUCGGUAAAAAUACCGAUUAACCGCAGCAAGACGGAAAGACCCCGUGCAGCUUUACUACAGAUUGACAUUGGGUUGAGAUGAUACAUGCGCAGGAUAGGUGGGAGACUUUGAAGCUUCGCUCAGGCGAAGUGGAGUCACCCUUGAGAUACCACCCUUGUAUUAUUUUGACUCUAACCCCCAUAAAAUGGGGGGACCGUGUUUGUUGGGUAGUUUAUCUGGGGCGGAUGCCUCCUAAAAAGUAACGGAGGCGCGCGAAGGUUCCCUAGCGCUGGAUGGAAAUCAGCGCGAUAGUGUAUUCGCAUAAGGGAGCUUGACUGCAAGACCUACAAGUCGAGCAGAUACGAAAGUAGGCGAAAGUGAUCCGGCACCACCAAGUGGUUGGGGUGUCGCUCAACGGAUAAAAGUUACGCCGGGGAUAACAGGCUUAUCGGGUCCAAGAGUUCACAUCGACGACCCGGUUUGGCACCUCGAUGUCGGCUCAUCACAUCCUGGGGGUGGAGAAGCUCCCAAGGGUAUGGCUGUUCGCCAUUUAAAGUGGUACGCGAGCUGGGUUCAGAACGUCGUGAGACAGUUCGGCCCCUAUCUGCUGUGGUUGAAGGAUUUUUGAAGGGAGCUACUCCUAGUACGAGAGGACCGGAGUGGACGAACCUCUAGUGUAUCUGUUGUCACGUCAGUGGCAUUGCAGAGUAGCUAUGUUCGGACGGGAUAACCGCUGAAAGCAUCUAAGCGGGAAGCCUCCCCUAAGAAAGAAAUCCCCAAAUCGGUCCCUCUUUGAGGUGACUUUUCGUUACGAAACGUCAUAUCUUUUGAGCGAAAAUUUUGAAGAGCGCUGAAGGCGUAUCCAAUGGAUACGAUGAGGAGCUAUGAGAAAUUUGCAGCCAAAAGGGUGGCGCUGCAGUCGAAAAGGUCAUCGCAAAGAGGGACCGGGUAGCCUCCCGGUAGACAACCGGGUGAUAGGCGGCAGGUGUACGCACAGUGAUGUGUUUAGCCAAGCCGUACUAAUAGGCAAUUGACUUUUUUGU
rfam:Peregrinibacteria bacterium GW2011_GWF2_39_17 TT36_C0003, whole genome shotgun sequence.